GAUGAACGCUGGCGGCGUGCCUAAUACAUGCAAGUCGAGCGAACAGACGAGGAGCUUGCUCCUCUGACGUUAGCGGCGGACGGGUGAGUAACACGUGGAUAACCUACCUAUAAGACUGGGAUAACUUCGGGAAACCGGAGCUAAUACCGUAUAAUAUAUUGAACCGCAUGGUUCAAUAGUGAAAGACGGCUUUGCUGUAACUUAUCGAUGGAUCCGCGCCGCAUUAGCUAGUUGGUAAGGUAACGGGCUACCAAGGCAACGAUGCGUAGCCGAACUGAGAGAGUGAUCGGCCACAUUAGAGCUGAGACACGGUCCAGACUCCUACGGGAGGCAGCAGUAGGGAAUCUUCCGCAAUGGUCGAGAGCCUGACGCAGCGACGCCGCGUGAGUGGUGAAGGUCUUCGGAGCGUAAUACUCUGUUAUUAGGGAAGAACAAAUGUGUAAGUAACUGUGGACGUCUUGACGGUAACUAAUCAGAAAGCCACGGCUAACUACGUG
rnacentral:rRNA from 1 species